rnacentral:lncRNA from 1 species
CCUCGUCUCAUAUUCAUGACCUUUUGAUAAUCAAGCUUCUUUAAUCACUUUGAAAUGGGUCCAUUCUCUAUCCAAUGUGGCCUUUUAAGAUCAAACACCAAUAAUUGUCCUCUAGAUUGAAUUCUAUCUUUAAAGAAUCUUGACCAUAAGACUUACUGUCAGUUCUGGAGUUGACAUUCCAAUUCUGAAUGGGAGACAGCCAUUUUGUAGGAUCUGUUCGUGAGUGACACAUGACAAAAGAUCGAGGGGAUUCCACUUCUAGAGGGAUAACAGCUUCCACUCUAAUGGCUAGGAAAAAGGCAUAUUUUCGAUCUUGUUCAUGAUGUAGUUCUAUAAGAUCGGAGUAUACUGGGGAGAUCUUUCGUUCAUGCCCCUUUAAUUCAUCGAGUCAAGCAUCCAAGGUGUGCUUGAUAAUGUUGUUUACAGGUUCGACUUAGCCAUUGGUCAGAGGGUGAUAUGGGUAAAGAAGUGCUUAUUAAUUUUUAGCCCUUCAAAGAAGGACAAUAGUCUUGCGUUUUCAAAUUGUAUGACGUUAUUCAUAAAGAUUGAGUACAGGAUACAAAACCUACAGAUGAUGGACUUCCAGAUAAAGUCAUGAUUUUAUAUUUUAUUAUCUUAGCUAGAGGUUCAGCUUUAGCUUCAGCCCACAUAGUAAAGUUAUCUAUCGCAAUUAUAGAAAUGAUACUACCUUUUCAUAGUCAUACGUUUGAUCAAUUAUAUUCCCAACUUUGAGAAAGACCAAGGGCUUAUGAAUGACAUGAGUUCUUGGGACGGGCUUAGAUUAUUGGUAUAAGUC